AGUUUCAUCCUUUGCAUCCUCCAGCCUACGUUUAAGGCUGAAUUCAUACUUAGUGACCCGACAGUACCUGCUGGCUGGCCUGGCAGUGCUCCAAGGAGACCCAGGACGCUCAGGCCACCCGGUACAAACACAGCCCAGCAUCAAGAAAACAGCACUGAAUCAGUCAGUCUUGGAUCUGUAACCAGCUGGCUGUGCGACCUUAGCCCACACUCUGGAGGCCGCAUUGCUGGCUGGUUAAGAAAUGUGGGCUCUGGAAUCAGGUUUGUAUCCCAGCUCCACCACCUAUCAGCUGUGUGACCUUGGGUAAGCAACUUAAUUUCUCUGUGCCCUGGCUUCUUCAUCUAUGAAACAGGAGUGGGUCGGGAGUGGUGGAUGUGC
rnacentral:lncRNA from 1 species